rnacentral:rRNA from 1 species
UAGGGAAUCUUCCGCAAUGGACGAAAGUCUGACGGAGCAACGCCGCGUGAGUGAUGAAGGUUUUCGGAUCGUAAAACUCUGUUGUUAGGGAAGAACAAGUUGGGUAGUAACUGACCCAACCUUGACGGUACCUAACCAGAAAGCCACGGCUAACUACGUGCCAGCAGCCGCGGUAAUACGUAGGUGGCAAGCGUUGUCCGGAAUUAUUGGGCGUAAAGCGCUCGCAGGCGGUCUUUUAAGUCUGAUGUGAAAGCCCACGGCUUAACCGUGGAGGGUCAUUGGAAACUGGAGGACUUGAGUACAGAAGAGGAGAGUGGAAUUCCACGUGUAGCGGUGAAAUGCGUAGAGGUGUGGAGGAACACCAGUGGCGAAGGCGACUCUCUGGUCUGUAACUGACGCUGAGGAGCGAAAGCGUGGGUAGCGAACAGG